AACGAACGCUGGCGGCAUGCCUAACACAUGCAAGUCGAACGAGACCUUCGGGUCUAGUGGCGCACGGGUGCGUAACGCGUGGGAACCUGCCCUUAGGUUCGGAAUAACUCCCCGAAAGGGGUGCUAAUACCGGAUAAUGUCUUCGGACCAAAGAUUUAUCGACUUUGGAUGGGCCCGCGUUGGAUUAGCUAGUUGGUAGGGUAAAAGCCUACCAAGGCGACGAUCCAUAGCUGGUCUGUGAGGAUGAUCAGCCACACUGGGACUGAGACACGGCCCAGACUCCUACGGGAGGCAGCAGUGGGGAAUAUUGGACAAUGGGCGAAAGCCUGAUCCAGCAAUGCCGCGUGAGUGAUGAAGGCCUUAGGGUUGUAAAGCUCUUUUACCCGGGAUGAUAAUGACAGUACCGGGAGAAUAAGCUCCGGCUAACUCCGUG
rnacentral:rRNA from 1 species